rnacentral:tRNA from 1 species
GAGCCUGUAGCUCAACGGCAGAGCGCUACACUGUGGCUGUAGAUGUUGCGGGUUCGAAACCCGUCAGGCUCCCCA